rnacentral:rRNA from 1 species
GAUGAACGCUGGCGGCGUGCCUAAUACAUGCAAGUCGAGCGAACAGAUGCGGAGCUUGCUCCUCUGACGUUAGCGGCGGACGGGUGAGUAACACGUGGAUAACCUACCUAUAAGACUGGGAUAACUUCGGGAAACCGGAGCUCAUACCGGAUAAUAUAUUGAACCGCAUGGUUCAAUAGUGAAAGACGGUUUUGCUGUCACUUAUAGAUGGAUCCGCGCCGCAUUAGCUAGUUGGUAAGGUAACGGCUUACCAAGGCAACGAUGCGUAGCCGACCUGAGAGGGUGAUCGGCGACACGGGAGCGGAGACACGGUCCAGAGGCCUACGGGAGGCAGCAGAAGGGAAUGUGCCGCAGUGGGGGAAAGCCUGACGGAGCAACGGCGCGUGAGUGAUGAAGGUCUUCGGAUCGGAAAACUGUGUUAUGGGGGAAGAACAAAUGUGUAAGGAACUAUGCAGGUCUUGACGGUACCUGAUCAGAAAGCCACGGCUAACUACGUG